ensembl:lncRNA
UCUUUACAGGUUGUUUCAUGUUUCCUUACAUUAUUCAGAAACAUUUUGCAUCUUCACCUUCUAAACUGGUUGAAAAGGCAUUGUCCAGCCAUCUGAGAAGGCAGGAGUGACUGCUUAUGCCACUGAUUUGUAAGAAUAAGGGAAGCUGAACAGACACAUGGAGAUGGAUGGGUGAAGUGAAGUAGAAUAUUACUGAAUAAUCUUCAACCUUGAAUGUGGAAAAUGAGAUACAGGAUGCCUAAUGUUUCAUUGACAUCCAUGAAAAGAGACAUGAAAACAUCCAAACCUCUCUCAGUGGAAGAAAGUUAAGGGGACCACAUGGAAAACCACAGCUCCAGUGAGAAGGGUGACCCUGGCAGGACAACAGGGAUCCCAUCCAUGCACCUCUCCUUGUGUGGCCACAUGGAGAGGCUGUGCCUGUUGCAUCACGAAGAAAAUCACGUUUGAGGCUGAUCCCUUUGAACUGCUGAAACCUGAUGACUUGCAAUCAAUAGGCUGUGAAACAAUAAGGUCAGCAGUGCGAAGAUUCCGAUUUUCUGCCUCUAAACGCAGACUCAUGUGCUGGAACACUGAGGUGAGUCUGACCUGAGCUCAUUGCCUCAUAGAAGAAUAUGGAGUGGGAGGAAAAGGAUUCAAAGUACCUGAGAGCUGUUAAUACAGUGUCUGUCCUCUUCACAUAGAUAGCUGGGGGAAAUGCACCGUAUAAACCUACAAUAGAUGUGACUGACAAGUGUCAGUUUCUUGUUAAAUGUUAAGCACUGAUGGACCCUGAGACUGGAAUUCUAAGCCCCAUUGCUACCUUGCAACCCUGCAAAAAUAUCAAGAAC